UACGUAGGGCGCAAGCGUUGUCCGGAAUUAUUGGGCGUAAAGAGCUCGUAGGCGGUCUGUUGCGUCCGCUGUGAAAACUCGGGGCUUAACCCCGAGCCUGCAGUGGAUACGGGCAGGCUAGAGUUCGGUAGGGGAGACUGGAAUUCCUGGUGUAGCGGUGAAAUGCGCAGAUAUCAGGAGGAACACCGGUGGCGAAGGCGGGUCUCUGGGCCGAUACUGACGCUGAGGAGCGAAAGCGUGGGGAGCGAACAGG
rnacentral:rRNA from 1 species